ACGUAAAUGUAUGACUGUUAAAAUGCAUCAUAUGAGUUUGGGCUUUCAUUCUAUUCUAUUGAGAUUUUCUUGGUCUCCUGAUUGAUGUUGAAUGUGUUGGUUAUUUUCCCUAGCUUAGAGCCCUCUGCCAAUCAGAUAAACAUGUUCAAUUACUUAGGCUAUAAAUGCAGGUGCUCAGACAGAGUUUCAGCAUAACGGUGGCUUAAACAAGAUAGAAGCAUAUUUCUUUCUUAACUCUCUGGGUAUAAAGAGUCUUGGGCUGAAUUCUCCUCGGGGUCAGAAAUCUCGUCUGUCCACCAUCCCUCGGCCAAGUUGGCUCACCAACAUGCUUCUAUUCUAUUCAAUAAGACGUGGUAAACGGUAAAGGGGGAGACACAUUGUCCUUUUAAGGACGUCGUCCCCAGAACACAUCACAUCUGCUUUCAUCCUGUUGGACAGAACUUAGUCACAUGGCUACACCAGCUUGUAAAAAAAAAAGCUGGAAAUGUAGUCUUUCUUUUUUCUUUUUUCCCGGAUGUUCAUCUCCUUAGCUAAACGUUCUAUUCUCUGAAAGAAGAGGAAAAUUGGAAGAAAUGAGCAAUCUUUGCCACACAUAAUUUCUGUGUUUGCGUGUAUGUAAUUAGAGCUGUAACUUGUCAUUGUUAUGGGCAUAACUGUGGUCUUAAUCUGCAAGUUUGUAAUGCUUCCUUGAUUAACAUCCUAGGGUCGUGGAUUUUAGUCAGACACAAAUCCACCCAAUGCCAAACCUGGUCCAUUCUACAUUUCCGUUUCUUUCCCUGAAGGAUCACAGGACAGCCUUUUACUAAAUAUCUUACUGAAAUCUAGAUACUGUAUGAUUGUGGCCCUUCCCAUAAUCUUCACCUACCACCCUAUCAGCACAGGAAAUGAGGUUUGCUCAGCAUGACAAUCUGAGUGAACCCAGCUUUUCCCUUAUGGCUCUAUUUUCUAAGAGCUCACCAGCCACCUAUUUAACAAUCCUGUCCAAAGUUUUGCCACGGGAAUUCAUUUCAACUGUGCUCACCUGCAAUUUUUGGAAUUCAUGCUGUUUCCAUUUUUGAAAGUCAGAUGGACUAUUCUAUCUAUGGACACGUCCACACUGAUGAUAGACCCUAAUGUCUUAAGACUACACCCAGGAGAAUAAUAAUGUUUUGGUAUUUCGGAGGUUUCAGGCCUGGCACAGAGCCCACCGUGGGCUUGAACUCACCACCCUGAGAUCAAGACCUGAGCUGAGACCAAGAGUCAGACGCUCAACCAGCUGAACCACCCAGUCACCCCUCAACAACGUUUUUAAGCAAUGAAAUUUGGGGACCUUUUUAAUAGAGUAAAAACAACAGCAGCAAAUGUGCACAAGACCCAGGCAGAUAGGAGAAAUAUUUUUCUAAGUCUCCAGGCUAAGAAAUAAAGAAGAACUGCUGAGGAGGCUGAGCGACGUCCCAGACGUCAACCUGCUCUCUGACACAGGAGGAGCGGGGUCAGGCACCAGGCAAGGCUCCACGCGGGGUCGGCUGCGCAGGGAGGCCUUGCGCUCCUGGCGCGGACAACCGUCCCCCGGCACCUGCUUCUGCGCCUGCAGACGCUUCUCGUUCAGAGCGAGCGAGGUUGGCGGGCUUCUGCUGCUCAACGCCUUUUCUUCUUCCUUCUGGGCCUGAUAGAAAAGCAGGGUCCCAACAGGGCUCAAGAGACCGGGCCAGGAGCUGGCUUAACUUCUCCUUAGCGGAGACGGCUUAAAGGAGGUGCCCGUGCAACACGUCGAUGAAUAUAUCGUAUAUUUAGCUAAGUUCACCCGCAGGCAUGGGCACAUGCCUAAGGAAGACAUUUUAAUCACAGACUGGCAGUUUUUCUUUUUUUAGACAUUAGAAUCUGUUUUCCUCACACAGUAGGAACACAAAAUAUCAAGGAACUCAUGAAGUUCCUGAAUUUUAUUUUUACACUCAUAAUUUUGAGAAGAGUCUUAACAGAUUUAAUCCAAAUUUAGUGUUAAAAAAAAAAAAAAAAAGGCUGCUCUGGGACCGCAACUAUAAAUGCCACGUUUCAAUCCAGAGCAAAUUUUUUACAGCUGAGCUGGCAGAUCUUUAAAGAGGUCUUGUCAAAACAGAAACCAUCACGAACCAAAAAAAAAAAA